GCGUCCCCCUCUCUAUGGUAACCACGAGCCCCCAGCCAAUCAGUGCCGACCGCACGUUCAGCACGUCCCCUGGCUGGCAGCGGAGUCUGCCCUCCAGUGUAUGAGGCGGGAGGGGGAGCGGGUCAAACCAUUCCUUCCUGAGGCUUUAAUGAUUGAAAAGCUGUCCUACAGUGCCAGACCGGUGAUUUUUGCCUAGGCUGCAGGCAAGAGAAAGCAUUUCCUCCAUUUCCUCUGUGAUCAGACUGCAACGGUGUUGCCUUGUAGCAAGUCAUAAGAAACUCCGGCGUGGGCGGUAAAGUGACUCAGUGAUUUCCAUUCACUUUUAACAGAGGACGGCUCGCGGCGUUUACAGACGGCACGUCAAGAUCGCCCAGCUCUGAAUACCUCAAAGGAUUCAUUCACGUUUAUGAUGGAGUAGAGCAUAAAGGAAGAUUGUAUCAGUCCAUCGCCUAUUGCUUGAGCAGUCAUUGAUGCUAAUCAGCGGGAACAAUAAGUCAAACUGCCGACUUACAGCUGAACUCCAGGCAGAUAUAAAAGACACAAAUCAAUUCAGCUCUGUA